UGUUACACAAAAACAGUGAAUGGUUGAAUCAAGUGAGUUGUGUUCAGACUGUGGUAAAACUACAGUAAGUUUAACUCCCAUCUUGAUGUUUUCUACGGAGACAUUGAAUGACAAACACAUCUGUGUUGUGGACCAAAAAAAAGCAAGCCACUCCUAAACAGAACCUCUGAUCACCACUAUUGCUGUGGUAAAAAACAGUAUCACAGCACAACUCAAAGCUGCUGUAACGUAAAAGGAAGUCUUGGUGAGUUACAAGAACCAAACACAUUGUGUUUAUUAUUGUCCAUAAUUGUUUUUGCUGCUUCGCACCAGAUUCCAGAGAGAUUGUGACCUCUGAACUCAUUUAACCAGACAUUAUGUACAAACGUGUCACAGUGUCGUGAGUUUAAAUAGUAACAUUAACAUUAGUUACAGUAGCAAUAUGUUCAGAUUGAGGUAGAAGUGAGUUUAACUCCCAUCCUGAUCUUUUCCACAGUGAUAUUAAAUGACAACGGACAUCUGUGUUGUGGACCAAAAGAUAACAAGACAGUCCUCAACAGAGCCUCUGAUCACCACUAUUGCUGUGGUAAAGAACAGUAUGACAACAGAAAUCAAAGAUGCUGUCACGUUAAAGGAAGUCUUGGUGAGUUACAAGCAUAUUGUAUUUAUUGUUGUCCAUAAUUAAUUAAUGCCACAAUUAAACACUGAUGUCUAUACCAAAACCUGAUCUUAAUUUACUGACAUGAGCAUUUAAACUCAAAAAUUCAAACAGUGAAGUUCAGCUUUUGGGUUUAGAGGAGAUUUAACUGUGUUUAAUGAAGUCUUAGAACCAGAUUCUAGAGACAGAGUGCGACCUUUGAACUCAAGUAAACAGACCUUAUGUACAAACGUGUCACAAUUUCGUCAGCUUAAAUAGUAACAUUAACAUUAGGUAGCAACAUGUUCAGACUGAGGUAGAAGUGAGUUUAACUCCCAUCCUGAUCUUUUCUACAGAAAUACUGAAUAACAGCAAACAGCUGUGUUGUGGACCAGAUUAUGACAAGACCGUCCUGACCAGAACCUCUGAUCACCACUAUUGCUGUGGUAAAGAACAGUAUGACAACAGAAAUCAAAGUUGCUGUCACGUUGAAGGAAGUCUUGUGACACUGAAUAACAGCGAACAGCUGUGUUGUGGACCAGAUUAUGACAAGACCGUCCUGGACAGAACCUCCAUCUACCACUAUUGCUGUGGUAAAGAACAGUAUGACCACACAACUCACAGCUGCUGUAACGUUGAAGGAAGUCUUGGUGAGUUACAAGAACCGAACAUAAUGUGUUUAUUAUUGUCCAUAAUUGUUUUGCUGCUUGGCACCAGAUUCCUGAGACAGAGUGUGACCUCUGAACUCAUGUAA
rnacentral:lncRNA from 1 species